GAUCGAACGGCUAGCUACAGGCUUAACACAUGCAAGUCGAGGGGCAGCAUGAAAGGAACUUCGGUUCUUUUGAUGGCGACCGGCGCACGGGUGCGUAACGCGUAUCGAACCUGCCUCAUACUCGGGGAUAGCCUUGCGAAAGUAAGAUUAAUACCCGGCGGUCUCGGAUGGCCGCAUGACUAUCCGAGUGAAGAUUUAUCGGUAUGAGAUGGCGAUGCGUCCCAUUAGCUAGUUGGUGAGGUAAUGGCUCACCAAGGCAUCGAUGGGUAGGGGUUCUGAGAGGAAGGUCCCCCACAUUGGAACUGAGACACGGUCCAA
rnacentral:rRNA from 1 species